CCCAUUCCCCACCCACUCUCCCAUCCCACCAGUCCCACACGCCGCCACCUCUGCUGCUGCGUUGCCUCCGCGGGUUCAUCGCCGCUGCCGGCCGCCGCCACCUCUGCUGCUGCGCCCGUGCGCCAUCCCCUGCCGGCCCGCCCUGCUGCUCCCUCGCCAUCACCGCCGAGCACUCGACCAGAGCAGUCAUAAGUCAGCUUUCUCCUUCCUGGCUUCCCCUUCUGGCCUUCUCUGUUCCUUCCUUCUUCUCCUGGGCUCCUGGCUUCCCCUUCUCUGUUCCUUCCUUCUUCUCUGUCUCCUCUAUUCUCUAAUUCUCUGAAUUUUGCUCCACUUCAAGAUUGAACCUAGGUGAACUGAUUGUGAACUGUUGGCAAUUAGGUGGAGAUGAGGCUAAAAGGUGCACUGCUGCGACUAUCAAGAUUUUCUACCAACAACCAUGUCUCGGUAUUCCUAUAUUCCUACAGUACUUCUCAACUUCUCGUCCUCAUAUAAAAAUCACUAAUUUAUAUAUAUUAUUUAUAUUUCUAAUAUAUAUACACAAACGUAUCCCCGUAUCAGGGUUUUUAAAAAACAGCGGUAUCGCCGUAUCCGUAUCGCCGUAUCCGUGCAACCUAGGCACCUACUAAAUGAAGACCAAGUAUUCAUACCUUGAAUGGCUUGAGCAAGAAAAGGGUGAUCCAAAUCCUGAAUGAAGCAGUUGGUGGAAACACCGGCACAAGAAAAGUAAGUCCAUGAACCACAAUUUGCAAUAACACCCUAUUAUUGGUAACAAGACAAGAACAUAACCGCAUACCAAAUUUAGAAUCGAGGAUUGACCCCAUGGACACUGAUUGUAGUUACAUUUCUCUGGCGGCCACCAGUCAAUCGUAGCACACACGUAAUUCUCAUCGGUUUCAGCAAUUCUGUUUGAUCCUUUAACUAUGACCGUCGCUUCCUCCGGCUGCUGAGCCGAAGCCGACCAAGGAGCAUGUAGACAAGCAAGCGCAAGUAGUAGAAGAAGAAGCCUCACGGCCAUCCUUCCUACCUAGAACAGAAAAGCAAAAUCACUAUCCAAAGCUGUGUUCGCUCUGCGUGCAGACUAGCAGACAACCAUUUGUGUGUGAGCAAAAACAAUGAGGAUUGCUAUGAGAUGGCAAAAAUCAUGCAAGAUUUAACUAGUGAAAUGACGCAGCGACGCUAAAUUCCCCCGAACUGUUCGAAUCCAACAACUUGGGCAGCAUUCGCUAGGGCAAUUGCAGACCGAAUUAGCCAACCGGAUAAGUACCAGCACGAGCCUAGGCUAGAAAUUAGAGGCAAAGAUCCCAAUCCUCACAUCUACGAGAAAAGAUGCCAUUCUGAAGAAGAGUACGGAGAAGGAAGCAGAGACCCCCACCUUUCCCCUCCGUCCACCAACCAACCACUCUAUCCCGUCCCGUCCACCGUCCACGUCGAGAUUCCUCCUCGCCCACGGGUGAGCCGCGGCGGCGCGCGAGCCGUAGGCUGGGAGAUCUGGCCGGCGGAUGAUUCUGCCGAUUCGGAGUUCAGGCCGCCAUUUCUCGAGCUCUAGGUGCCUUUUUCGGGGUGCUACAGCUACUAGGAGUCUGGGACAGCACUGCAACUUUGCCGCUGUUGGCUUCUAGCGGCAACGUGGCAGGCAGCGCCGGGAACAGAGCAGAAGAGUGCAAGACCUGGUCACCGGGAUAGAUUCUGUCGGACUUCUCUGGUAAAAAAAGAGAUUGUUCCUCCUCGGUUAGUCGGAAAUCUCAGGUGAUCUAUUUUUCUCAGGAGUACAAGAAAACUGAUCAUUCGCACUGGAUGCACGAUUUAUGUAUGAGUCCUUUUAUUUUAUUUUGUAUGAGUCCUUCAAAAUGAGUUGGUUUUCGAGUAGCAUUUAAUUCUUCCCCCUUUUUUUUCAGGUAGCGUUUAAUAUUUUUCCCCUAAAAAAGAAAGAAUUAGAUGCUGCCCGAAAAACAAAUGGACAGCAAGAUUUGAGCAUUGCUGAUUAUGAACAUAC
rnacentral:lncRNA from 1 species